rnacentral:rRNA from 1 species
CUUUUCGGGCUUUUUCGUGAUUUGGGCUAUAUUACGGACCCAAAAUUACUUGUUCAAGCAUUGUUUUCGAAUUUUUUCAUGCAUCAAAGCUCGUUAAGACUAGAUGGGGUAUCCCUACAUAGCGGGUGGGACCCACGGCGAAUGGUUCAUCAAGUCUUCAAAAAAGAAUAUAUACGAUUGCAUUGCAUAUACUAACGGAUGCGAUCAUACCAGCACUAAUGCACCGGAUCCCAUCAGAACUCCGCAGUUAAGCGUGCUUGGGCGAGAGUAGUACUAGGAUGGGUGACCUCCCGGGAAGUCCUCGUGUUGCAUCCCUAUUUUAUGUUUAACCUUUUUUUUUUUGGUUAAAACUUUAUGACUCCAUAACUUUUAGACCGUGAGGCCAAACUUGGCAUGUGAUACCUUUUCG